rnacentral:rRNA from 1 species
UGGGGGAAUAUUGCACAAUGGGCGAAAGCCUGAUGCAGCGACGCCGCGUGCGGGAUGAAGGCCUUCGGGUUGUAAACCGCUUUUAAUUGGGAGCAAGCGAGAGUGAGUGUACCUUUUGAAUAAGCACCGGCUAACUACGUGCCAGCAGCCGCGGUAAUACGUAGGGUGCAAGCGUUAUCCGGAAUUAUUGGGCGUAAAGAGCUCGUAGGCGGUUUGUCACGCCUGGUGUGAAAAGUCCAUCGCUUAACGGUGGAUCUGCGCCGGGUACGGGCAGGCUAGAGUGCAGUAGGGGGAGAUUGGAA